UCGAGUAUGGUGUAAAAGCUAACAUUGCCGGCUCUCAUAGGCACGCUUUGUGAUAAAUUUCUGCGGCAGCUUAGGGUUCGAUUCCCUGUACUCGAA